UACGAAGGGUGCAAGCGUUACUCGGAAUUACUGGGCGUAAAGCGUGCGUAGGUGGUUCGUUAAGUCUGAUGUGAAAGCCCUGGGCUCAACCUGGGAAUGGCAUUGGAAACUGGCGACCUAGAGUGCGGUAGAGGGUAGUGGAAUUCCCGGUGUAGCAGUGAAAUGCGUAGAUAUCGGGAGGAACAUCAGUGGCGAAGGCGACCACCUGGCCCAACACUGACGCUGAGGUGCGAAAGCGUGGGGAGCAAACAGG
rnacentral:rRNA from 1 species